GGCGAACGCUGGCGGCAGGCCUAACACAUGCAAGUCGAACGGACCCUUCGGGGUUAGUGGCGGACGGGUGAGUAACACGUGGGAACGUGCCCUUAGGUUCGGAAUAGCUCCUGGAAACGGGUGGUAAUGCCGAAUGUGCCCUUCGGGGGAAAGAUUUAUCGCCUUUAGAGCGGCCCGCGUCUGAUUAGCUAGUUGGGGAGGUAACGGCUCACCAAGGCGACGAUCAGUAGCUGGUCUGAGAGGAUGACCAGCCACACUGGGACUGAGACACGGCCCAGACUCCUACGGGAGGCAGCAGUGGGGGAUCUUGCGCCAUGGGCGAAAGCCUGACGCAGCCAUGCCGCGUGAAUGAUGAAGGUCUUAGGAUUGUAAAAUUCUUUCACCGGGGACGAUAAUGACGGUACCCGGAGAAGAAGCCCCGGCUAACUUCGUG
rnacentral:rRNA from 1 species